rnacentral:tRNA from 1 species
GCGCCCGUAGCUCAGUUGGAUAGAGCGUCGGACUUCGAAUCCGAAGGUCGGAGGUUCGAGUCCUCCCGGGCGCGCCA